rnacentral:rRNA from 3 species
GGACUACCGGGGUUUCUAAUCCCGUUCGCUCCCCUGGCUUUCGUUCCUCAGCGUCAGAAAACCCCCAGUGAGCCGCCUUCGCCUCCGGUAUUCCUGAUGAUAUCAACGCAUUUCACCGCUCCACCAUCAGUUCUGCUCACCUCUAGGUUCCUCAAGCACAGUAGUUUAGGGCGCAAUUCCUCGGUUAAGCCGAGGGCUUUCACACCCUACUUUCUGCGCCGCCUACGAACUCUUUAAGCCCAGUAAUUCCGAAUAACGUUUGGGCCUCUCGUAUUACCGCGGCGGCUGGCAC